rnacentral:lncRNA from 1 species
UGGUCGGUUUUUUCAGUUAUGUUUCGGGUUCAAGUAUGUAACGUGCAAUGACAUAUGUAAUGGGCAUUGAAAUUGUAGCAAAAUUACCCAUUAUAUGCUAUGUACAAUGAUUCCUAUGCAAAUGAAUUGUAACCCCCCCCCCCCCCUUUUUUUUAAUCAAUUUUAAAAUCUCUUUCUAGACAUGCUUGUAUGAGAUUGUUAUAUGGACUUGUGCUUUACUAGAUGAAUUCAUGUAAAAA